GACUAUUGGCAAUGGAUAUCUCGGCUCUUCAAUUGAUAAAAAAACAAAGUGAAAUGCGAUACUUGAUGUGAAUUGCAGAAUCUAGUGAACCAUUGAGUCUUUGAAUGCAAGUUGUGUCCGAGGCCUUGUGGCCGAAGGCACACCUGCUUGGGUGUCA